UUGGUGAGGCUGUCACUCAAGGUGUCCCACUCCCAGCCAAAGGCGAGCACAUGAUCCCAAGUGAGAAGAACUGAAACAGAGAUGCAGAACUAUUUGGCAUGUGGAGUGAAGAGACCCACCUCCCGCCUCCACCCUACAUCCUGACCACCAUGGUUUGCCAUCACCCUGCCCUCCUGGAGGAGACAAUGAAGUUACCCAGUCUGCUGUGGUCCAAAAGCAGAUGGUCCUUCGCCUGACAUUUGGUCAGAAGGUCAACA